rnacentral:misc_RNA from 1 species
AACAAGGCGUACCUGCGGACCUGCGGAAGGAUCAUUACCGAGUUUACAACUCCCAAACCCAUGUGAACAUACCUAUCGUUGCUUCGGCGGGAUCGCCCCGGGCGCCUCGUGUGCCCCGGAUCCGGCGCCCGCCUAGGAACCUUAACUCUUGUUUUAUUUUGGAAUCUUCUGAGUAGUUUUUACAAAUAAAUAAAAACUUUUAACAACGGAUCU